CCAUAAAACAUCCUGGUGAUAAAGGAGAGAAAAAUGUUCAGUUUGGUUUUCCGGAAACUGCGCUUCAAAUUUUGCUGUACUAUAGAGCUCAGAAGGACCCGCUGCGCUCUCGUUUGCCUGCCUGAUUCCACGGUGGUUGUGCUGAUGGCGACGCUUUUACGUUGUUCCCUUGGUGUUGGAACCGCUCUCUUUUGCAGCCCCGUUUCCCAAGUACUGUUCAAGUUACAUGUUUGUAAACUCCGUGGCACGCUGGGUGCAGUGCCCACGUUGCUGCUGCGUAAGACUCUGUAUUUGGAUGCCAAUCCACAGGCCUGAUGAAAUCGCUUGUUGUGUAUCAGUAAUCAUUAGUGGCAAUGAUGACAUUCUGAAAUGCUG
rnacentral:lncRNA from 1 species